rnacentral:rRNA from 3 species
UUGAUCCUGCCAGUAGUCAUAUGCUUGUCUCAAAGAUUAAGCCAUGCAUGUCUCAGUACAAGCCGCAUUAAGGUGAAACCGCGAAAGGCUCAUUAAAUCAGUUAUGGUUCCUUAGAUCGUACCCACAUUUACUUGGAUAACUGUGGUAAUUCUAGAGCUAAUACAUGCAAACAGAGUUCCGACCGGAGACGGAAGGAAUGCUUUUAUUAGAUCAAAACCAAUCGGCGGCGGGUGCGUUCGCGCGCGCGUUCGCCGCUCAACCUGGUGACUCUGAAUAACUUUCGGCUGAUCGCACGGUCCAGCACCGGCGACGCAUCUUUCAAAUGUCUGCCUUAUCAACUGUCGAUGGUAGGUUCUGCGCCUACCAUGGUCGUAACGGGUAACGGGGAAUCAGGGUUCGAUUCCGGAGAGGGAGCCUGAGAAACGGCUACCACAUCCAAGGAAGGCAGCAGGCGCGCAAAUUACCCACUCCCGGCACGGGGAGGUAGUGACGAAAAAUAACGAUACGGGACUCAUCCGAGGCCCCGUAAUCGGAAUGAGUACACUUUAAAUCCUUUAACGAGGAUCAAUUGGAGGGCAAGUCUGGUGCCAGCAGCCGCGGUAAUUCCAGCUCCAAUAGCGUAUAUU